GAGGGUAGCGGAGAAAUUCCAAUCGAACCUGGAGAUAGCUGGUUCUCUCCGAAAUAGCUUUAGGGCUAGCCUCAAGUGAUGAUUAUUGGAGGUAGAGCACUGUUUGGACGAGGGGCCCCUCUCGGGUUACCGAAUUCAGACAAACUCCGAAUGCCAAUUAAUUUAACUUGGGAGUCAGAACAUGGGUGAUAAGGUCCGUGUUCGAAAGGGAAACAGCCCAGACCACCAGCUAAGGUCCCAAAAUAUAUGUUAAGUGGAAAAGGAUGUGGCGUUGCCCAGACAACUAGGAUGUUGGCUUAGAAGCAGCCAUCAUUUAAAGAGUGCGUAAUAGCUCACUAGUCGAGUGACACUGCGCCGAAAAUGUACCGGGGCUAAACAUAUUACCGAAGCUGUGGAUUGUCCUUUGGACAAUGGUAGGAGAGCGUUCUAAGGGCGUUGAAGCAUGAUCGUAAGGACAUGUGGAGCGCUUAGAAGUGAGAAUGCCGGUGUGAGUAGCGAAAGACGGGUGAGAAUCCCGUCCACCGAUUGACUAAGGUUUCCAGAGGAAGGCUCGUCCGCUCUGGGUUAGUCGGGUCCUAAGCUGAGGCCGACAGGCGUAGGCGAUGGAUAACAGGUUGAUAUUCCUGUACCACCUAUAAUCGUUUUAAUCGAUGGGGGGACGCAGUAGGAUA
rnacentral:rRNA from 1 species